rfam:Lachnoclostridium sp. An118 An118_contig_9, whole genome shotgun sequence.
CUCUUAUUCAGAGCAGUGGAGGUACAAAGGACCUGUGAAGCUGCGGCAACCCCGGCGACGGAAGGUGCCAACCUGAGCGAGUGAUCGAACAAUAAGAG